UGCACAACGACCGGGUGUACUAUGUG
rnacentral:piRNA from 1 species